rnacentral:rRNA from 1 species
UACAGAGGUCUCAAGCGUUGUUCGGAUUUAUUGGGCGUAAAGGGUGCGUAGGCGGCAGGGUAAGUUAGGCGUGAAAUGCUGAAGCUCAACUUCGGCACUGCGCUUGAUACUGCCUUGCUUGAGUGCUAGAGAAGAAGCUGGAAUUCACGGUGUAGCAGUGAAAUGCGUAGAUAUCGUGAGGAACGCCAGUGGCGAAAGCGAGCUUCUAGAUAGUUACUGACGCUGAGGCACGAAAGCUGGGGGAGCAAACGGG